AUUGAACGCUGGCGGAAUGCUUUACACAUGCAAGUCGAACGGCAGCACGGGGGCAACCCUGGUGGCGAGUGGCGAACGGGUGAGUAAUAUAUCGGAACGUGCCCAGUCGUGGGGGAUAACGUAGCGAAAGUUACGCUAAUACCGCAUACGAUCUAAGGAUGAAAGCGGGGGAUCGCAAGACCUCGCGCGAUUGGAGCGGCCGAUAUCAGAUUAGGUAGUUGGUGGGGUAAAGGCUCACCAAGCCAACGAUCUGUAGCUGGUCUGAGAGGACGACCAGCCACACUGGGACUGAGACACGGCCCAGACUCCUACGGGAGGCAGCAGUGGGGAAUUUUGGACAAUGGACGCAAGUCUGAUCCAGCCAUUCCGCGUGCAGGACGAAGGCCUUCGGGUUGUAAACUGCUUUUGUACGGAACGAAAAAGCUCUUACUAAUACUAGGAGUCCAUGACGGUACCGUAAGAAUAAGCACCGGCUAACUACGUGCCAGCAGCCGCGGUAAUACGUAGGGUGCGAGCGUUAAUCGGAAUUACUGGGCGUAAAGCGUGCGCAGGCGGUUAUAUAAGACAGAUGUGAAAUCCCCGGGCUCAACCUGGGAACUGCAUUUGUGACUGUAUAGCUAGAGUGCGGCAGAGGGGGAUGGAAUUCCGCGUGUAGCAGUGAAAUGCGUAGAUAUGCGGAGGAACACCGAUGGCGAAGGCA
rnacentral:rRNA from 1 species